ACCAUAAACGGAACGGAUGAGUGUGGAUUAAUACAGAUGGAUAGAUUCUAUACUGAGUGGAUAUGGAUGAGUACAGAUGGAUAUAUUCUAUACUGAGUGGAUAUGGAUGAGUACAGAUGGAUAUGGAUGCGUUACAGAUGGAUAUUUCUAUACUGAGGUGGUAUGGAUGAGUACAGAUGGAUAGAUUCGGUACUGUAUAAGUCAACUCUAUAAAGCCCCACAUCACAACCGAGACUAUAGACUGGAUGGCUUACCUGAGGCUGUGGACGACGUGUUGAGUUGAUACAGGAAUGAAUGAAUUACUACUGUGGAUGAAACUACUCUAUAAAGGCCCAUAUUUGACAGAGAUGUACAGUCUAUACUGGGUGGAUAUGGAUCACAGUGCAGUAGCAGUACCUCCUCUGGUAGAGUGAAUGACGUGUUGUAACAACACAAAUUGUGGAUGAAACUGUACUCUGUCUAGUCUGGAUAGAAGGGUUGUAGUACAGCAACUCUCUGUCUGUGGAUGAAGGGUUGUAGUAUAGCACCUCCUCGUCUAGUCUGGAUAGAGGGUUGUAGUACAGCACCUCCUCUGUCUAGUCUGGAUAGAAGGGUUGCAGUACAGCACCUCCUCUGUCUAGUCUGGAUAGAAGGGUUGCAGUACAGCACCUCCUCUGGUGUGUGAAUGUAACGUGUGUGAAUUAAAUAGAAGAAGAAAAUGCUCCCUCUGUCCUUCCUGUGAGAAUACAAACAUCUGGACUGGGAUCUGUAGGCUGGGAUCUGGGAUUGGGAUCGUGGACGGGAUCUGUGAACUGGAUCGUAUGACGGGAUCUGUGACUGGGAUCUGGGACUGGGAU
rnacentral:lncRNA from 1 species